GACCGCGUAGCUCAGUUGGCAGAGCAUUGGGUUAGUAUUCCAAAGGUCGUAGGUUCGAUUCCCACCGUGGCCA
rnacentral:tRNA from 1 species